rnacentral:tRNA from 2 species
GCGGGAGUAGUUCAGUGGUAGAACAAUAGCUUUCCAAGCUAUUUAUGAGGGUUCGAUUCCCUUCUCCCGCUCCA